rnacentral:lncRNA from 1 species
GGGAAAAAAAGAGGAGAGAGAGGGAGGGGAGACCUCUGGGGGUAGUCCAGAGUCCGGCGAGCUUCGGUCGCCGUCCGUCGAACCGUCCGUCGUGCCGGCGUUGCUCCGGCCACCGUGUACGGUGGCCGGAAGUCCAAAAGGCAGGUAAUUUUCCCCUUUUUUUUGCGUAAAUACGUAUCUAUAUUUUUAUGGUUUUUUUUUAAAAACAUACAUUAUAUACUUAAUUUAUUCAUUAGCCAUUGUAUUCGAAAGAAAAAAGAAGGUGAGAUGAGAACCUUAAGAUCGGCCUGCUUGCUAUUGAUUCAAAUCGUUUUUUUCUCUGUGUAUUCCCUACUGCCCCCUUUUUUACAAAAAUCGAAGAAGGAAAAAAAAGAAAAAAGAACCCCCAUGUGAUUUUUUCAAUCGGCCUUAUAUAGCCAAAAUACAAAAUAAAAUCUCAUUUUGCUAUCCGUAUUUGCUGUUGCUUGUUGGUGUUUGCUGCAGGUACUGGCGGAGCAGUUGGAGCAGGUGAGUCGGUGGCAAGUGGGCAUGGUGACGGCUGUGAACAGAGGGCAGGUG